GAUGAACGCUGGCGGCGUGCCUAAUACAUGCAAGUCGAGCGAACGGACGAGAAGCUUGCUUCUCUGAUGUUAGCGGCGGACGGGUGAGUAACACGUGGAUAACCUACCUAUAAGACUGGGAUAACUUCGGGAAACCGGAGCUAAUACCGGAUAAUAUUUUGAACCGCAUGGUUCAAAGUGAAAGACGGUCUUGCUGUCACUUAUAGAUGGAUCCGCGCUGCAUUAGCUAGUUGGUAAGGUAACGGCUUACCAAGGCAACGAUGCAUAGCCGACCUGAGAGGGUGAUCGGCCACACUGGAACUGAGACACGGUCCAGACUCCUACGGGAGGCAGCAGUAGGGAAUCUUCCGCAAUGGGCGAAAGCCUGACGGAGCAACGCCGCGUGAGUGAUGAAGGUCUUCGGAUCGUAAAACUCUGUUAUUAGGGAAGAACAUAUGUGUAAGUAACUGUGCACAUCUUGACGGUACCUAAUCAGAAAGCCACGGCUAACUACGUGCCAGCAGCCGCGGUAAUACGUAGGUGGCAAGCGUUAUCCGGAAUUAUUGGGCGUAAAGCGCGCGUAGGCGGUUUUUUAAGUCUGAUGUGAAAGCCCACGGCUCAACCGUGGAGGGUCAUUGGAAACUGGAAAACUUGAGUGCAGAAGAGGAAAGUGGAAUUCCAUGUGUAGCGGUGAAAUGCGCAGAGAUAUGGAGGAACACCAGUGGCGAAGGCGACUUUCUGGUCUGUAACUGACGCUGAUGUGCGAAAGCGUGGGGAUCAAACAGGAUUAGAUACCCUGGUAGUCCACGCCGUAAACGAUGAGUGCUAAGUGUUAGGGGGUUUCCGCCCCUUAGUGCUGCAGCUAACGCAUUAAGCACUCCGCCUGGGGAGUACGACCGCAAGGUUGAAACUCAAAGGAAUUGACGGGGACCCGCACAAGCGGUGGAGCAUGUGGUUUAAUUCGAAGCAACGCGAAGAACCUUACCAAAUCUUGACAUCCUUUGACAACUCUAGAGAUAGAGCCUUCCCCUUCGGGGGACAAAGUGACAGGUGGUGCAUGGUUGUCGUCAGCUCGUGUCGUGAGAUGUUGGGUUAAGUCCCGCAACGAGCGCAACCCUUAAGCUUAGUUGCCAUCAUUAAGUUGGGCACUCUAAGUUGACUGCCGGUGACAAACCGGAGGAAGGUGGGGAUGACGUCAAAUCAUCAUGCCCCUUAUGAUUUGGGCUACACACGUGCUACAAUGGACAAUACAAAGGGCAGCGAAACCGCGAGGUCAAGCAAAUCCCAUAAAGUUGUUCUCAGUUCGGAUUGUAGUCUGCAACUCGACUACAUGAAGCUGGAAUCGCUAGUAAUCGUAGAUCAGCAUGCUACGGUGAAUACGUUCCCGGGUCU
rnacentral:rRNA from 1 species